ACAUGAGCUCGGCCCGUGUCCUUUACGGGAACAGACUGUGGGGUUGCCAGGCAACCAGCGGGGACUCCGCGAAGUCGGUCUGCUCAGUGCACAACUCGCAUAAAACCACAACUUGUCCGUUUUAAGACUCCUGAUACUGCAUGGACUAAACGAACGGGAAAAUUGCUUUGUGGGCUUAAGAGGCCUACCAACUCUGCUUAUUGAUGUGAUGGCCAGGAUUUAUGAAGUGUGCCUUUUCUCCCGCUUCACGCAUCACCGCCCAGGAUCCCUGCGUGCUCGUGAUGCGGUCGGAGGCCCAAAGGGCAUUCCUGUCACCGCCACAACCUGGCCUGUGAUGCCCGAGGAAGGAAGCGGGCCUGCAGUAACAACCGGCGCACGGGCAGGCCUCGUAGGGUACCACAGUGUGAAGGGAAGCCGAGGCGUAUCAUUUCAUGCAACACACCUUGUGAACAUGAGCGGCCGGGCAUCAGAGCGCCACUUCACAGACCCUCCUCCUCCUCCCCCUCCCUCCUCCUCUCUCAAGGU